GGCUACGGCCAUGCCACCCUGAACAAGCCCGAUUUCGUCAGAUCUUGGAAGCUAAGCAGAGACGGGCCCGGUUAGUACUUGGAUGGGAGACCACCUAGGAAGACCAGGUGCUGUAGGCA
rnacentral:rRNA from 1 species